rnacentral:sRNA from 1 species
AUGUACCACGCGUACGCUGCGGCUCUCAGCGCGCCGUCCACACCCGCCUGACGACUGCUCGCCACUUUUUGUUAGCC